rnacentral:rRNA from 1 species
UACGUAGGGGGCAAGCGUUGUCCGGAAUUAUUGGGCGUAAAGAGCUCGUAGGCGGUUUGUCGCGUCUGCUGUGAAAACUCGGGGCUUAACUCCGGGCCUGCAGUGGGUACGGGCAGACUAGAGUGCGGUAGGGGAGACUGGAAUUCCUGGUGUAGCGGUGAAAUGCGCAGAUAUCAGGAGGAACACCGGUGGCGAAGGCGGUUCUCUGGGCCUGUACUGACGCUGAGGAACGAAAGCGUGGGGAGCGAACAGG